rnacentral:rRNA from 1 species
GCAAGUCGAGCGGUAACAUAGAUAGCUUGCUAUCUGCUGACGAGCGGCGGACGGGUGAGUAAUGCUUGGGAAUAUGCCUUAAGGUGGGGGACAACAGUUGGAAACGACUGCUAAUACCGCAUAACGUCUACGGACCAAAGGAGGGGAUCUUCGGACCUUUCGCCUGUUGAUUAGCCCAAGUGAGAUUAGCUAGUAGGUGAGGUAAUGGCUCACCUAGGCGACGAUCUCUAGCUGGUUUGAGAGGAUGAUC